AAGUCGUAACAAGGUUUCCGUAGGUGAACCUGCGGAAGGAUCAUUAACACGUUUCGUUCCGAACGUUUUUGACCCAUCUCUAUUUUCCGUGCACCAAAUCGCGUCCGGCCUCCUAGCCCGCUCUCCGGCUUUAGUCGGUGUGGCCUGGUUGGGCGUUCUGGGGAAAUGAGUCGGGGGAAUUUAUUUUCCUCUCUCUCUUUUUUCUUGGAGCGUUGCCACCUCUCCCAAACCCUUUAAUCUAACUGAUCUGAACUUUAAGUUGACUACUCGCGAAGGGAAAAAGAAAGCAUUCACGUGCCUCUUUUUUUCUUUUGGCCUAGUUAUCAACGACUUUGAACAAACAACAACUCUUAACAACGGAUAUCUUGGUUCUC
rnacentral:misc_RNA from 1 species